rnacentral:rRNA from 2 species
UUAAAGCGGUACGCGAGCUGGGUUCAGAACGUCGUGAGACAGUUCGGUCCCUAUCCGUCGUGGGCGUAGGAAAUUUGAGAGGAGCUGUCCUUAGUACGAGAGGACCGGGAUGGACGCACCGCUGGUGUACCAGUUGUUCUGCCAAGGGCAUAGCUGGGUAGCUAUGUGCGGAAGGGAUAAGUGCUGAAAGCAUCUAAGCAUGAAGCCCCCCUCAAGAUGAGAUUUCCCAUAGCGUAAGCUAGUAAGAUCCCUGAAAGAUGAUCAGGUUGAUAGGUUCGAGGUGGAAGCAUGGUGACAUGUGGAGCUGACGAAUACUAAUAGAUCGAGGACUUAACCAUAUAA